UCAUAAAUCAAUAGUUUUUUUGAUUCAGUAAUUUUUGGUUUAUUCAACAAAGUUACAAAAAGUUUGUGCGACUAUAUAAAAAAUUUUGAAAACUAAGAGAAAUUUAGUAGACGGAUGGGAAAAGCUAUCAAAUAUAUAUAGUUAUCUGAAAACAACAAGAAAAAUUGUCAAUAAAAUAAAAGGAAAAAAACAUAUCUGGAAUGAAUGGUUCACAGACUAUUCGUAUUCGUUCCUUACGAUGCCUCAGUCAAGAUUAUGAUGACCUUGAAAUAAUAAUAAUCUUGUUGACGUAGGUUUUUCUAGAUGUAUAUUGGUUUACUACAAAUGCUUAUGAAAAACACCAAUUUCAAAGGGUUGGCAAAGUUCCAUCUGGACAUUGUAAUCUUCUAAAAUCUAAAUCAAUGGCAUAUGGCAACUACGAAUCUCAACCAAAUCAUCGAAUUCAAAUAAGAAAAGAAACAGGAUUCCUAUUACAUUUUCAAUUGGAAUACAAACAGAAAUAUUUUCUACAAAAAAGGAAUAUUGAACAAUUUUUAAAAUUCAAAUUCCAAAAAUCAAAAUAGUUUCUCGAAAAAUACCUAUCAAGUGACGUAAGCUCAUCAUGCACGAACCUGUCAAAACAGCACGAUUCAACAUGAAUAAAAAAAAAGAAAAAUCUCUACACAAAACUCUCUCCACCAACUCUACAUACUCGGUAGAAAUAAAAA